CAUGGCUGUCUCUACUAUGCAUCUUUGUGUUGUCCUGUAAUUACUAGCAACCUGCCCAUAGUGUCGGCUGACCACCGAGAUGGGAACCAAUGCCACCAACACUGUGACCUUACAAGGGCAAGCUGAUAUAGGAACUCGAUAGGUUUGCUUUCCUCCUGGAAGCUGAACCUUACCCUGGUUUUAAGCCUUCUGCAAUUUCCUGACAGCUUUUCCAAGCGGAUGGCCCUGUAUCUACCUCCAUCCAUCUUGCGAUCAACUCUGACCUGCUGAAGAAAUGCAUCCCCAUGGUGCAAUGCUGAAAACCACCAUGAUAGAUUUCCUUCACGUAGCAUUUGCAUGUAAGCCAAAAGUUACAUUUGACCAGAAAACUUCACAUGUUUUUUGUGUCCUCUUAGUGGUUUUAAGAAAAAAACUAAAUGACUCAAUUUUGGACUCAGUUUUGUUCCAACAAUGACCUUAUUGUUGCUGAUUUUCCAGAUUUGUAGAGUUCAUUACUUUUUACAGAUUGCUAACAACUUCUCACAGCUAAGCUAUGAGUCUUUGCAGCUUUUACAGUCUCUUGGCUGCUUCUUUGAUGAAUGUUUUCCUUGCUGAACCUAUGAGUUUAGAUCAACAUCCAUGUCUUGGUGGGUUACAGUUGCACUCUAUGCCUUUCAUUUUAUAGAUCACGUAGUGGUUCCUGACAUGUUCAAAGCUUGCUUCAUUUUUUUAAAUAACCUAACCCUGCUUUGAACUUCUUUACCAUUUUAUCCCUAACCUGAUCUGUCUGAUGUGUUCCUUGGCCUUAAUGAUGCGGUUUGUCCUCUUAUUUUCUCAAAACAACAUUCAUCAAUGAGUGACUGCAUUGCUGAGCAAUAUCUCAAGACAUUCAGCUUACCUUAUGAGAACAUUUCAAUGACAUGACGUUUUUGCUCUUAGACUAAUACACUGAAUACUGAGCUUGGUGCUAAAAAUUACACGGACAAAAUCAACUUGGAUGCUUUGAGUUUGUAGUUAGAAAACUUAAACCAGUAUUAAGUUUACUUCCACUAAUAAAGGGGGGAACAAAAAACUAUAUUUCUUGCUGCUUAGUUGCUGAGACAACAGACAUGUGGAGUCUCUUGAGGACAAUAAUUAGGCUUCUGUGACGGCAUAUCAGCCUGCUGGAAUUGUUUCCUACCUAAUUUUCUAGUUAUAAAAGCCAACGCUGUCUCAGUCAGGUUAUUAUAACAUUACAGUUUUUGCAUCUCAUUAUAUUACUUUAAAUUUGGCACACAUGUUCCUGAAUAAUACAGCUAAAUUGUUUGCUAAUUUAUCUGAAUUUAGAUACUGCAUAUGAGAUGAGGCCCUUCAUUAUAGUGGUAAAACUUGUUCUAGCAAACAGGAAAAAAAAAACAAACAAACAAUACAUUGUAAAUAGAUACAUAAUGACUUACUGCUGUCACUGCAUGCACCAUUGUUUGGUUGCAUUAUUUUGCAUGCAUAAUGUCCACUGGUUAUUAUUGCUAUAAAUUAUUUGCAUGCCCUUAUUAUCAUCAAUAAAAUUGAAACCGAGAUUUUGUUGCUAUUAAAGCCAUUUAUCU